AUCUCUCACCCAAAGUGGCAGAUGACGAAGACAAGUAGAUACCCACAACCUGAAGCAUGAAGCAGGCGACUUCCUCCGCCAGCUCCGGUACAAAACUGAAAACCCUAAUUUCGAUUUUUCUCAUUGUUAGUAUAUUUAUGACUGUUUCUAUUCUUAAGUUGUUAGAUGUUUUGAUUUAUUGUGUCUUCAUUGAUUUUUUUGGUUCGUCGUAUUCGCACUUCGAAAAUCCCUCCCCUGUUUGCUUUCUUCUCUCGUCAAUGUAUUACAUGGCGAUCUCAUCGAUUUCUACUCACCGAUGCAACAAGACAACAUCCACUCUGGCACAACAAACCCUUUGAACGGCGUAAUUUCAUCAAGUCUAAACCUCCCGCGGUUAAGUGGUUCAAAAUGGUGGCAUUGUCCAAAGAUCUUUGUCAUUUGACAACACUACGUUCUGGGGAGCUUCAAGUUCCAAGGCAUGAUUUGCAUGGUUUCCAUUGCUUAACACUCGAUACCUCAAUACUCUUUAAAAGGUUAUUAUUAUCAGGGUCUUAAAGCGGAUAAUGAAGUUGGUUUGUGGGACUGGAAAUGAUCUUUAGGUUAUUGUUCUUGAACAUUUAUAGGUAAGAAUAAGAUUGAGAAACAGUAAAUAGGAAUGAAAAAUGCAAGAAGACUUUUUUUGAAGUAAUAAAAUUGUUUAGAGUUAAUCUAGGGAUAGCUUAUCCAAUGCCUUAAUGUACCUCUCAAGAGCUAUAGGAACAAGAUCUUCAAGGCACAAUGAGAACUACAUGUAUAUUUAACAAGCUACUGAUUAGGUUUAACGAUAAGAUAAUAGAUAUAAAUAUGUAGUCAUCAUUGAGAUGAAAAAAAAAGAAUUCAAACUAAAGUUCAAAUCAAUACAUACUUAUUAUAAUCUUUUUAUCUCACAAAUAAAAUGUUACCUUUUCACUAGAGACAAUCGUCUUUCAACUGAUGCAACUCUGAAGAGGC